rnacentral:lncRNA from 10 species
AGACCAGGGCUGACAAAGAGCCCGUCACCAACAGUUACCGCCCUUUGUCUGCCCUGGAUGCUGAAGGCUGCAUGAGCAGAGAAUGAGCAAAUGUGGGAUAAAUAAUCUCAACAAAGUGCUCACUGAGAGCUGCCCUGACAAAUCUCCCAGGAAAGGCAGUGUGACGUGGAGCAAGGAACACCACGAGAACAGAAGAGCAGUGACUGCCACUGGCUGCAAGGACUCCGGCAUUACUACAGCUCCCAAGUCAGAUACCCUGUGUGCACCAACCUCCAGUUUCCUGCUUUCUCUGGCAGGGGUUUUGAUUCUGAAAUCCUGCCUCCUACAAGUUUCACCAGUGCAUACAGUUAGAUACAGUAAUUCUACUAAAAUUAUGCGGUUGGAAAUGUUUGCAUAGGAACAUUCUUCAUUCAUCAAGCAUGUUUCGAUCUCUUUUGUGCUAGGCACUGAGGACACACUAGUGAGCAAAAUAAACAUUAUCACUUCCUUUGGCUUGUAGUCCAGUGGGGAAGAAAGAAAUUAACCAAAUAAUUAAAAUAAUACACAAUUAAAAAUAAUAUAAAGCAUUAUAAAGAAAAGUACUUCUUGCUUUAAGAAUGCCACAUUAGGGGAACUGACUUAUACAGAGUAAGAGUGUGUUAGGGGAAGUUGUCAGGAAAGUUAUCAGAAAGGUCUUUCCUGAGGAUACGUCUGAACUAAGACCUGAAGGAUGACUGCUGUGUUAAUACCAUGGAAUUCCAUAUAGCAAUUAAGGACACAUGAAGAAAAACAUGUAUUGAAAUAGAUGGCCUUCUAAAUCUAGUGUUUGGGAAAAAUCAAGUUGCAAAAUGAUAUUAUGAUAUAUUGAAUUAUUUUUUAACUUUUUUUGUAUGCCCUGUUCUUUUUGCCAUGUGGCUUUGUAGUAACUUCCUCUAGAAUUGUGGAUUACAUAUCCUUGCCCCGCUGAAACUAGGUUUAGCUGUAUCAUUGGCUUUGGUUCGUGAAAAGUGGGCAGAAGUGACCAUGUGUCAGUUUCAAGGGAGACCUCAGAGACAUGGCGUCUUUCUUCCUAUCCUCUUAUAUUCAGGUGAUCUUCUGUGAGAUGAGCAAGGCCCAGGUAGCCUCUACCUCUUCAUCCCAAACCCAGAACAAACACAUAUGGAACAGACAUGAACACAGCCACACCCAGAAGACCCACAGCCUACUCUGCACAGCUACCUGUCUGAGCCCAUCUGAUUAACCAAACUUUAGCUGACUUGCAACCUCAUGAGUUUGGGAAAAAAUGCUUAUUGUGAAUCACCUAGUUUUGGGGUAGUUUGCUAGAUAGCAUUGUUGUAGCCAUAAUCAACAACACAGUUAUACAAUAUAAUACCAUUUACGUAAAUUUUGAAAAUCUGUAAAACAAAGCUAUGUAUUAUACACGAAUACACAUAUAAUUUAAUAUCGUAAGAAAAGGAAUGGAAAAGAGAUGCACCAGAAUCACAAUAGUCAUUAGGGUACAGUGCUGCCUUUGACAGUAUCUGAAGUGUUUCAUUUCUUAAAAACAAAACCAAAACCCAAAGUGUGAUUGGCAAGCUUUUAGACGUCAAUAGGGCUAGACGGUAGAUAAACAGGCUCUGGUUCAAAUAUAUAUAUAUAUAUAUAUAUAUAUUUUUUUUUUUU